rnacentral:rRNA from 1 species
AUACGGAGGAUCCGAGCGUUAUCCGGAUUUAUUGGGUUUAAAGGGAGCGCAGGUGGGUUGUUAAGUCAGUUGUGAAAGUUUGCGGCUCAACCGUAAAAUUGCAGUUGAAACUGGCAGUCUUGAGUACAGUAGAGGAGGGCGGAAUUCGUGGUGUAGCGGUGAAAUGCUUAGAUAUGAGGAAGAACUCCGAUUGCGAAGGCAGCCCACUAGACUGUUACUGACACUGAUGCUCGAAAGGGUGGGUAUCAAACAGGAUUAGAUACCCUGGUAGUCCACACAGUAAACGAUGAAUACUCGCUGUUUGCGAUAUACAGUAAGCGGCCAAGCGAAAGCAUUAAGUAUUCCACCUGGGGAGUACGCCGGCAACGGUGAAACUUAAAGGAAUUGACGGGG